rnacentral:tRNA from 1 species
CGCGGGGUAGAGCAGGGGUCAGCUCGCAAGGUUCAUGACCUUGAGGUCGCAGGUUCAAAUCCUGCCCCCGCUACCA